UGUGAAUCAGACCCAAUCCUUCAGUUCGGCAGGGAAGGAAACCCUUUAUAAAAGGAAUCUUUCUGGGUCAGGGCUGCAGGACUUCAGGCUUCUCACACCCUAGACUGUUGCCUCGGUUGGGCAAAUUCCAAAAGCUGUACUGAAAAGACAAGAUUUUAAUGAUGCCUCAAUCCCAAAUCAAAGGGAGAAUUACAGUCCUGUGUAUGUUCAGCCUCUAAGGAUGGCAGAUCCAGCAUCAGACUAUUUCCCUCACUCCCGAGCCCAGCGAGAUGGGUUUGACUAUCCCAGGAAGGAUUUGCCUUACCCAGUUUAUCCAGAGGCGAGACAGUACCGGAGAUACUAAGAACAAGUGCUUCCUAUAUCAGAAAUGUCUUGGAAAGCUGCAUAAUUACUGGGCAAUCCAGGUGCUGAGAGAGCAGCGAGACCCUGGUGGGACACAGAGGAAAUUGCCAUUCUUAUUAGAUAGCACUAAGUUAUUGCAAAGAAAAGGUAUAGAGGAUAAUUGUAAAAGAAAACCUGAUAUAACAUGACAUUAACAUCUGAUUUAUUUGCUGUGUAAUUGGUGACAGCUUCCUGUGAAUCCCUGAUACUGGAGUGCACAAGGGUCUGGCCCUGGUAGUGUGGUACAAACACAGCCAAGGAUUUGGCUUCCCUCUGUCUCAAGAUUUAGCAAAUAUUUACAGGCCCAUUCCCUGUCCCUUGUCUUUUUUGCUUUGUCUUCUUUCUAUGCUGAUCCCAACAGCUGGAACGGUUUGCCUUUAGUACUGCCCUGGCUUGCUUUGUAACUUUUUUGUAAAUGAGGACAAUAAAUGAAGCUAUGGAAGAUUGACCACCUUGCCACUAAGUAACAAAUUAAAGACACUGAAGGCUGGGAUUUAUUUCCCAUUUUCCAAAAAGUCUGAAGCACAUUAUAUUGCGAUUUAUAUAAAAUGAUUUUCAUUAGUAUUAGGUAAUAUGUGAAACUAUAUGACAAAACUAGAAUAUUAAGGAUUUUAGAAAGGAUUUUUUGAUGCUUGUUUUCCCCUCAGUGUAACAAAAACUUCAAAGUGGGCAAAUUUGACUGGGUUUACUUCUACUGCUGCAAACUCUGUCAGAAAUAAAAGUGAGACUGGUUCCCUCUCUUAUCUUCAGAAACACACAGAAAUGGUGUUAGCACAUCUGUUUAGAUUCCAGACUAUCAGUUUAAACCAUUCUGACCUCAGAAAUUCAGAUCCAAAGGUGUCAGAAAACUGUGUCAGUGAAUUGCUUUUUCUGUCACUUCUCAGCCUCGGGUAGUGCCACAAUCUGACAAACGGUGGUGGUUGUUGACCUCAGUCCGGCUCUGUUGUACCAGCCUCAGAGUGACCACAGAAUCUGAGUGUUCAAUUUGAUACUCCACCACUCCUCUGAAAAGGAGUAGGAGGCACAGAUAAGGCAAUGCUGUCAAUAUCCAUGGUGCUGGCAAGAGCAGAGCUGGCUAAACUGAGUCUCUCUCACUCUUUGCCCAAGUGUUCAGUUUUGUCGUUACCUUUUUCUGGUAUUUUUCCCUUCAUUCCUUACUUGUGUUGGGCAGUUUGAAAUUAUUUUGUCAUAAGAAUGUCUGUCUCUUGCUAGAGCUAGACUAAACAACUGGAAUGUUCUUCUUACUGAAUUUACUUUGGGGUGUGCUGUGUUAUGUGGCUUUACCAUUU